UACGUAGGGUGCAAGCGUUGUCCGGAAUUAUUGGGCGUAAAGAGCUCGUAGGCGGCUUGUCGCGUCGGCUGUGAAAACCUGGGGCUCAACCCCGGGCCUGCAGCCGAUACGGGCAAGCUAGAAUUCGGUAGGGGAGACUGGAAUUCCUGGUGUAGCGGUGAAAUGCGCAGAUAUCAGGAGGAACACCGGUGGCGAAGGCGGCAUCCUGGACCAACACUGACACUGAGGAGCGAAAGCCAGGGGAGCAAACGGG
rnacentral:rRNA from 1 species